CACUAAAUGACUGAAUAAAAGUAAUGAUCUUUUAAAUCAAAAUAUAAUAGAAAUAGUCUAUUUUUAGUGA
rnacentral:tRNA from 1 species